rnacentral:rRNA from 1 species
AUUGAACGCUGGCGGCAUGCUUUACACAUGCAAGUCGAACGCCCCGCAAGGGGAGUGGCAGACGGGUGAGUAACACGUGGGAACGUACCCUUCGGUUCGGGAUAACUCAGGGAAACUUGAGCUAAUACCGGAUACGCCCGAGAGGAGAAAGAUUUAUCGCCGAGGGAUCGGCCCGCGUCUGAUUAGCUUGUUGGUGAGGUAACGGCUCACCAAGGCGACGAUCAGUAGCUGGCUGAGAGGAUGAUCAGCCACAUUGGGACUGAGACACGGCCCAAACUCCUACGGGAGGCAGCAGUGGGGAAUAUUGGACAAUGGGCGCAAGCCUGAUCCAGCCAUGCCGCGUGAGUGAUGAAGGCCCUAGGGUUGUAAAGCUCUUUUACCCGGGAAGAUAAUAGACUGUACCGGGAGAAUAAGCCCCGGCCUAACUUCGUGCCAGCAGCCGCUGUAAU